CAGCAGCCGCGGUAAUACGGAGGGUGCGAGCGUUAAUCGGAAUUACUGGGCGUAAAGCGUACGCAGGCGGUUUGUUAAGUCAGAUGUGAAAUCCCCGAGCUUAACUUGGGAACUGCAUUUGAAACUGGCAAGCUAGAGUCUUGUAGAGGGGGGUAGAAUUCCAGGUGUAGCGGUGAAAUGCGUAGAGAUCUGGAGGGAUACCGGUGGCGAAGGCGGCCCCCUGGACAAAGACUGACGCUCAGGUGCGAAAGCGUGGGGAGCAAACAGGAUUAGAUACCCGCGUAGUCCCUGUCUCUUAUAC
rnacentral:rRNA from 1 species